ensembl:lncRNA
CGGAGAGCUAGCCUGUGAACUAGGCUUGGAGCGCGCGCCUGGCUCCCUUGAGCUUCUCUGGCUGCCUCUAGCAUCGAAGUCAUGGAAGUAAGAGUGUUGGGAAUGAAGUUAUCUUGCCAGUGCUGUGCCAGGGUGGAGCUUGGACACCUGCACAUAGCUAGAUAUCUGUGUUUGACUAGCAGUGUUUCAUCCAUGGCUAUCAAAGUUUUUCCCAGUUGAGUAACACGUGCUGAGAUUACCAAAGAAUGAUAAUCCUCUGAGCCCCACACUCAGACCCAAGAUUUGGCAGGUUGAGACUUCCAAUCCUCGAUCCGGCAGGAUCUAUACCCCUGGUCAGCCAUAAGAAACCUCAGCGAAUGGAACUUCUUCCUUCAUUGGUCCUUGAGGAAUUAGAGUUCUAGGGGCAGAAACUAAAGCUGAGAUGAAAGGGAGCAGUAACUAAGGGGUCCUGGUGUUGAAGAGGAACUCCGUCAUCUGGAAAUUAAGGAAAUCUCAGAAACAGGAUUACAACCUUGUUUGUCGUCAAACAUGCUUUGACCUCCCCUUGACUGGUGUCAAGACUUCCUUAACCUUUUGACCUUUGCCCUCACCUGCCCUGUCUAUCGACCAAGCUUGCUUACACCACGACCAAGCUUACACCACGUUGUGAUCCCAUUCCCUGAGGAAAAGCUUCUAAAGACACAGACUGAAGUCUUUUCACUUAAUCUUUUAAACCUUUUGGGCUCUGCAACUCCAAAAGCCACCAAUGUUGAAUAUCAGCUAUGGUUUUAUUUUUGUCUAAGACAGUCUGGUGUAUCUGUGCUAGGCUUGACACUCAUUGUGUAGCUGAAGAUGGCCCAGGAUUCUGACUGUCCUGCUUUCUCUAUAAAAGGUUGCAAAAACAGCUCCUGAAACAAUACUUAACUGUGACUCUCUUUUGGGAAGCCUCACUCAGCAUAGUCCUGGUUGGCCUGGAACU